rnacentral:lncRNA from 1 species
AGGCAAUCAAUUAAGAUUAGGCAAAUACAAACAAACCACAUUAGUAAGCUAACCCUUGAGAUUGAAUCACAUCCAAUCCUGAAAAGAACAAAGCCUUGACGGAGAAGAAGAACAAGCAAAAGGCUGACGGGAACAUCCAAAACUCAAUAGAUUUUUCACUGUAGAUCUGAGGAACAGCUUUUCUGUUCAGAUAUUCAGUCAACAGCCUUCAAAUGCUAAUGAAUAACUCUUUUUUAAUGCAAAAAUAAAAAAUAAGGGAAAGAAGAAAGGCUGAAGCGGCCAAGUUACGAGAGGAGAGAGAAAAACGAGUGAGAGAGAGAGAGGAGAGCAUGUGACUGAAAAGAAAAACAAAAACAAAAAUGUAGGAGAGAAGGAGCCAUGUGCGAUCGGAGGUCAAAAACAAUAGAUAAUUCUCUGAUUCUUGGCGGUUUUUUUUUUUUUUGGUUCACUUAGUACUUCCUAUGUAUGGCUUAGCGGCCCUUUCCUUGUCCUUUGGUGUUAUUUAUUGGAAGUGUAUUUUGCGGAUGAAGUGUAUUUUUUUCCGGGAGUUGUCUGCCUCUCACCAUGGGGAGGGGAAAAAGAAAGGAGGGGGGAUAUUUUUUAAAUCAGGGAGCCUU